rnacentral:rRNA from 1 species
AUUGAACGCUGGCGGCAGGCUUAACACAUGCAAGUCGAGCGGGGUGAUGGUGCUUGCACUAUCACUUAGCGGCGGACGGGUGAGUAAUGCUUAGGAAUCUGCCUAUUAGUGGGGGACAACAUCUCGAAAGGGAUGCUAAUACCGCAUACGUCCUACGGGAGAAAGCAGGGGAUCACUUGUGACCUUGCGCUAAUAGAUGAGCCUAAGUCGGAUUAGCUAGUUGGUGGGGUAAAGGCCUACCAAGGCGACGAUCUGUAGCGGGUCGGAGAGGAUGAUCCGCCACACUGGAACUGAGACACGGCCCAGACUCCUACGGAGGGCAGCAGUGGGGAAUAUUGGACAAUGGGGGGAGCCCUGAUCCAGCCAUGCCGGGUGUGUGAAGAAGGCCUUAUGGUUGUAAAGCACUUUAAGCGAGGAGGAGGCUCUUUUGGUUAAUACCCAAGAUGAGUGGACGUUACUCGCAGAAUAAGCACCGGCUAACUCUGUGCCAGCCGCCGCCGUAA